GUAAGAGAAUGGAAACGGUCAUACAACAAUGUCGACAGUAAAUAUGUAAAAAAAAAAACCCAAAGAAAUACGUUUAGGACCAUAUUUUUAUUAUGAAUAACUAUUUCUGCAUUACUGGAAAAAUAUUGUAAAUUAAUACUAGUAUUUUUUGACUGCCACUGGUUUUGGCAAUUUUGCAUUACAUUUAAAAUGGAAGUUAUAUUUGCUUCCACAUUUAUUCUUCUAAAUAUUCUUUUUCAUAUACUAGACCACGAAUUUGACUGCUUUUCCCAAAACAGGUUCACUAAUAUAGCACAGCUGAUUGAUCAAUACAGUCUACAUGUUCACAGGUUUCGAGAAGAUUGCACAUUCCAACAAGGAAAAAAAAUAUGAAAUAAAAAGACACGGGGAAAUUCUUCAUUUAGCCGUAUCACAAAAACUAAAGAGUGGGAAACGGUAUCUCUGUAUUGGGGGUUCUGGACCCGGGAGAGGAGAGUGGGGGGACAAUAGGAAUGGAAUGAGAAGGUGGAGCUGUGAGCAAUAACAACAACAUCAGCCAGAGAAUGGUACAUAUAGACGGGAAGGAGAUCGUGGAGUGGAAGUUUAAUCUUGGAGGAGAGUGCAAGGCAAAAGGAGGAGCGCGUAGUUCACUUUAGUGUGUGUACGUGCAACCGGAAUUGGGCGCGCGCUUUGUUAUUGCUUUAAGCGGUACAGUAAAAACUUCCUAAGCGAGCUUUCUGUGUACACCUUCGAGUGCGUGUAUGUGUAUAAAGUUCAGUAUUUGUGGAUGUGGAAGGUGCCAAAUGCCCCAUGCACGACAUCGGCUUGCAUAGAAUUCAGACGCACACAAAGAACAUAUUUAUAUAUCGAUACCGCCAAGGGGCCGGGCGGGUGGUAUGGGGUAUGAGUACUGCUGGUACAUAUUCUGUAUCUACAACUUACAAGAAUAAGAAGAGUCAGAGGUAACAGCAGCAGCAAACGCAACAAUGCAAAGGUGGUGGUGCGGAUACGGUGGUGGUGGUGCAGCCACAGAGAGAAUCGGAGAGAGCCGCAUUUGUUGUUGAGGCGCAGUAUAUGGCUGAUUUUUUGUUCAAAAAGGUAUUUCACCCGUUUGGGGCCCAACACACACACAUACGCGGACGCAGCAAGCAUUUGGCGGGCAUUCGGGAGAGAGAGAGCGCCAGAAAUUGAGAGAGCAAACGCUGCGCAGACCAAAGAGUGAGCAAAUAUUAGGUGAAUGGAAACCGCCUAGAGGAUCAUCCUGCUCCAACUAAUUGAAACACCCUAUCGAACCAACAGCUGCCCCCUUUUAGCAUUUGUAAACAAAUAUUGGAGCUCAGUACAGCCGCACAAAAGCUUCAGCCCUCUUUCACUCUCCUGUCUCUGCCACCACCAACUAUCCUUUAAUAAAAGAAGCAUGAAGAAGCACGGCAAACGUUUUGUGUAAAUUCAAACCGAAUGAAAAAAAACAGGCGGAGCAAGAACAACAAACGACGGAUGGGAUGGGGAGCAAGAAAUAGAGGAGCAGGAGGAAGAUGUGAACAUAAAGAGGGCCACAAAAUGAUGCUCUCAUUGGGGAGCCAUUUAAAUGCACACUCACACUACACUUGGCUGCUCUCGCUAGUACAUGCGAAUGGCGCAUCAAAGCAAAAGUCGAGAUAAGCGCACGAACUGAGCAAAGAACGAAUCAACGAACGAAAAUAAAACGACACUACGUUGAAAAAAUACAGUCAGUUCAUAAGCGAACCAAAAGCAAUGGUUCAAAGCGUGUGUAUGUGUGUGGCUCUCCUCUCCACCCUCGUUCAAGUGUGUGUGAGGAGAGCAGAAACAGAAGAGGCAGCAGCAGCAACACAAACAACAACCACGUCCCCGUCCGUCGACGACUUUUUGUCUGUGCGCCUUCUAUAUGUAUUCGCUAUGCCAUUGUUGUGUGUGUGAGUUUGUGCGUGCGUGUGUAUAUAAACCAAUUGAAAUUGACCUAACCUAAAAAUGUUGUAUUUUUCACAAGUUUUUAGUGGCACGAACGAGAAUAUUGUUUGAAUCCGAGUCCGCGCUCCAAGUGCACUUGAAGGAUAAUGCUACUCUGCACUUUCCACGCCCCUCCAACCGCCCACCGCCCAUAUUACACUUACAUCAGCAAUAAGCAAUAAGCAGUUAGCUUCGUCGGUUGAUAUUCGGCUGUGUGUAUGUAUAUUC